GGAGAAAGAGGAAGGGACGCUGUGCUCCGUGCUUCCCCUUGUUAUCCGUGUUAUCCACGUGUCCACCCUUGUUAUCCUCGUGCUGUAGCGGUGCCGUGGCGGGGGGUGUAGGCGUUGACAUCCGUGGCGCUGACUGACCACAUCAGGGUGUGCUGGCAGCCCCCCGCACAGCACAAUGUGAUGCUGUGCGGCUACACCAUUGCCUGGGACCGAGGCGUGGCGGACAUCUACUCCAAGAGCGUGGACAGCAAGCAGCGCGGUUACAUCAUUGAUAAGCUGGAACCCAACAUGGAGUUUGUGAUAAGCCUGCGAGCCUUCAACAACGUAGGUGACGGGCAACCGGUGUACCAGUAAGUCCGCACCCAGACAGAGGAGGAGGAGGUGGUGGCACCCACGCUGGACCCGGCGGUGGGGGUGAAGGCCGUGGUGCUGACACCCUUCACCGUGGUGCUGCAGUGGCCGGACACCAUGCUGAGCCAGAACCAGUACAACAGCUGCACUACCUUCUCGUCCUAAUCCUCCAGCCGCUACGUCAACGCCACGGAUGUGACCUGCCUCAUUGACAGCCUCAAGCCAUCAACAGUGUGUGAGUUUGCUGUGAAGACCAUCAGGGUGAGACCACAGUGCUGGAAGCCUUCGUUCUUCUUUCAGUAAAUAUUCACUCAGUCCUGCAACACUUCUCAAGGAAAUCCUGCACAGCUGAAUCCUUGCUGUGAUGAGGCACAGAGAAAUUAUGACUCAUAGGGUUUGGCGUGAGUCCCCCUAUAGCCUGGUGGCCCAGCCGUCCUGGCCCUCCCUGGCCAGCCGUCCACCACCACCUUCACCCAGCAGCCGUCCACCACCACCUUCACCCAGCAGCCGUCCACCACCACCUUCACCCAGCAGCCGUCCACCACCACCUUCACCCGGCAGCCGCUGCAGCGGAACAACGGGAGGAUCACAGGCUACUUGAUAUUCCUCACCACGGACCAAACUGUCAGUGACUGGGUGACGGGGGAAGUGACGGGGGACUGGCUCACCCUCUCUGUCCAUGGACUGACGCCUUCAAGGAAGUAUUUGCACAAGAUGCACACUCACAAUGUCAAAGGUUUUGGUCCAUUCUCCUCCGUGGAAAGCUUCACGACUCUUCCAGCUGUUGACAAGAGCAUCGGUGAGCCCCCAGGCUGGUGUGUGGAGCGAGAGGCCUGAUUGUGCUGGUGAUCGCUGGCGUGGCAGGAGCCAUGACCAGCUGGGGGCCUUCUUGGCCACCACACUGUACUGCCGCGGGUCAAGGCGGAGCCCAGGCCAAGCAUUGUGUAAGGUGGCAGGACAGUUUCUUGUUGGUGUGUUUCAUCCCAUGACUCAUUUCAGCAAUCCUUUACACUGACUGCAGGAACUUUUUAUUCACUUUGUAAUAUGGAGAACAAGGCUGCAGGGCAUAGUCCACAAAGACUUAAGUUUGCCAAGAUUAGAGGAAGAAAAAGAAAGGUAAACUUGUUCUUAGGAAAUGUUCAAGAUGGACUUUCAUUUUGUGCUAUACAUAGUUGCAGGGUAACAAGUGACCUCUGUUUGUGAUAUCUGUGUCUCUUGGUGGAGCAGCUAACACGUGUUUCUAACUUGUGAUUGCUUGCAGUGUGCUGGCUGGGAGCUAUUUCUUUAAAUGAAUUCAAAUAUGCUUUGUUGAACUCAAACCUCAUGCCUUUAACAUCCAUCCUGUUUUGAAGAUUUCAUACUCACAGAUACUCACAGAUGACUUCUGGAAGA